rnacentral:lncRNA from 1 species
CAAAGAAUGAAAGAAAGAAAAACCUGUUAUUUGAAUGAGUAGCCACAGGAGAAUUCUGGAUGCUGACAGAAAUUCUUACCUAAACUAGGGAAUACUAGGGAAUACUGAUGAUUAUGUUGCAGGGAAAAACUGAUCUCUCUUUCUUGUGAUAAUAUUUAUUUAUUUAUUUAUUUGGUUUAAAAAAAAAAAGAAGUACUGCAUGCAAGUCGAAUUUCAGAAUUCCACAAAGUGAGCUGUGUGCCAAAGCUCAGAGAGCUGUUGAAGGCAACUUUGACUGGUGACCUGCAGAAAAUAUGACUUCUGAGUAUACUACUGGGUCUACAAGAUUGGUGCAAGAGUAGUGUGAAGAUGCUUCUUCAUUUCUGCUUCAUUACUCACCGAAAGAUGUGGUGCAUGAUGGGAGUGCGUAGAGCUAGAGAACACACACUGCCUGAAGCUAAG